GAUCGUGGCAUAAGAAAUCAACUAUAUGUUUAAUCAAUUCGUUUCACAUGAAAUGAUUUGUAUAUAAAUAUACCUUUUCGAGAUAAAUUUUGAAAUUACGAGAAAACUUGAACAAGAUUUGAUACUUCAAGAGAACACAUUGAUUUCGGAAGAGCCAUGUUUAAAUCACUGAUCUUGACUCUUGCUUUAGUUAGCGUUAGCUGUGCUUACGUUUGUGACCAGUUUUGCGGAAUCUAUUACUACGACAUAGGGUGCAGACAAGGCUAUCGUGCUGUUUUUGCUCAAUGUAACUGCUGUGUGACUUGUGAAAAAGUUUUGUAUCCGGGAGAUUCAUGUGUGAACUAUGCUGAGCCCGCAGCUAUCAGUCCAGGAAAUGUUCCAAGUGCAGAAAAUAGAGUACCUGUAGUAACUAGAAGCUAUCCCCGAUGUGCUCAAGGACUUUAUUGUAAUGAAUACACUCACGAAUGUCAAUAUAUUAAUGGAUAAGCAUAAAAUAUGGAUAAUUUUUUUGCUUCGCUUGAAAAGUUUUAUUUUUUAUAUAAAUAAAACAAUAUAUAAUUAAUUAUA